AGAUAAAAAACAACUGGCAGGUCCACAAACACAUCAUAUAUUCUUCUACUGUGCUGUAUCAUUUAUCUGUAUCAUUGAUCUCUGUAAUGUGGAUGCAUACGACUAGUCAUGCCAUGGACAUUCCAAAAGUGGCUCUUAAGUCUGUGAAAGAUUUCUCCAGGACUUACUUACCUUAUAGGAAUCUUUAGUAAAUAAAGGAGGAUUAUCAUUGACAUCUAGAAUUAUAACGGAAAUCCCGAUUUCUUCAAUAUCAGAUCAAUAAGGGACUGACUCCUGUCACCCGAACCAAUCAUCUGACUAAAGGAGCCACUGAGGCCUGUCCACUGUUCACCCAGCGCAGAUCUGUCAUAGCGACCACAAAAUGUGGGGUGCUGUGCCUAAUAAAUGAAGAAAAGGCUGAGGUCUUGCAGGAGUGCUGUAGCCCCUUCAUUCUACUAAUCUGAUAUUAAAGGGGUACUCCGGUGAAAACCUUUUUUCUUUUAA